UACAGAGGUCUCAAGCGUUGUUCGGAUUCAUUGGGCGUAAAGGGUGCGUAGGCGGCGCGGUAAGUCGGGUGUGAAAUCUCGGAGCUUAACUCCGAACUGCAUUCGAUACUGCCGUGCUUGAGGACUGGAGAGGAGACUGGAAUUACGGUGUAGCGGUGAAAUGCGUAGAUAUCGUAAGGAAGACCAGUGGCGAAGGCGGGUCUCUGGACAGUUCCUGACGCUGAGGCACGAAGGUCAGGGGAGCAAACGGG
rnacentral:rRNA from 1 species